CAGAAAUGAGCUGGAAGGGGCAGAAGGAGCACAAACAUAAAGUAGGAGAAUGAGCAGGAAGGGCCUGCAAGGAGCAGGAAGGAGCACAAAGGGACAGCAAGGAGCACAAAGGUAAAGGAGCAGAAAGAAUCAAAAGGAGCACAAAGAUAAAGUAGGAGAAAGAGCAGAAAGGGACAGCAAGGAGCACAAAGGUAAAGUAGAAAAGGGAGCAGAAAGGGACAGCAAGGAGCACAAAGGUAAAGUAGAAAAGGGAGCAGAAAGGGUCUGCAAGGAGCAGAAAGGGAUCAGAAUGAGAAAGGAGCAGAAGGGCGCAAAAUAAG